AUACGGAGGGGGCUAGCGUUGUUCGGAAUUACUGGGCGUAAAGGGCGUGUAGGCGGAUCGAUCAGUCAGGCGUGAAAGCCCCGGGCUCAACCCGGGAACUGCGUUUGAAACUGUCGAUCUUGAGUCCGGGAGAGGGUAGUGGAAUUCCCAGUGUAGAGGUGAAAUUCGUAGAUAUUGGGAAGAACACCAGUGGCGAAGGCGGCUACCUGGACCGGUACUGACGCUGAGGCGCGAAAGCGUGGGGAGCAAACAGGAUUAGAAACCCCAGUAGUCC
rnacentral:rRNA from 1 species